rnacentral:rRNA from 1 species
UACGGAGGGUGCAAGCGUUGCUCGGAAUCACUGGGCGUAAAGCGACCGCAGGCGGCCUGACAAGUCGGAUGUGAAAGCCCUGGGCUCAACUCAGGAACAGCAUUCGAAACUGGCAGGCUUGAGUACGGGAGAGGGGGGUGGAAUUCCUGGUGUAGGGGUGAAAUUCGUUGAUAUCAGGUGGAACACCGGCGGCGAAGGCGGCCCCCUGGCCCGCAACUGACGCUGAUGCGCGAAAGCUAGGGGAGCAAACAGG